GCCUGCAUGAAGUCGGAAUUGCUAGUAAUCGUAGGUCAGCAUACUACGGUGAAUACGUUCCCGGGCCUUGUACACACCGCCCGUCAAACCAUGAGAGUUGGCAACACCCGAAGUCGGUAGUCUAACCGCAAGGAGGACGCCGCCGAAGGUGGGGUUGAUGAUUAGGGUUAAGUCGUAACAAGGUACC
rnacentral:rRNA from 1 species